UGUGUUUGAACACUUAGUCCCCAGCUGCUGCUGGUGUUUUGGGAGGUUGUUACAGCCUUAGGAGGGCAAGCCUAGGUGGAGGAAGCCUGUCUCUGGGGCGGGCUGGGCCGGUUGAUAGCCCAGCCUGAGUCCUUCUUCGCUCCCUGAUCCUCUGAGUCUCCGCGAUACAACGGUAAAGCCAGCACUAUUUUAUGAAGGACAGGACCAAGACUAGAGGAACUAAAUGCCAAGGCAGAGACGCCCAGCCUGAGCAAGACUAUGCAGGCGAUGUGCCUCUCGGCUGAGGAGCCUAAAGCAAGGCUAAACAGAAGGCGUGUGGGAAGGCGACGAAGCAGACAACCUUUCCAGGAUGUUCAGCUCUCAAAAAAAUAACCUCCAGGAUCCAAAUCUCCGCACAACACGGAGAUUCCAAGCCCCAUCCAACAAGCGGCUUCUCCAGACAGAGCUGGGCGGCGCCCUAACAAGUGGAAUGUUCUCAGAACAUAAAAAUAUCUAUGCCGUGUUUUCUUGCCUGUUAACUGUGAUUUGAGAAUUAGCAACUUUAACUAUGACCAAAGCAAAGGUUAGAGGAAAAGGACCCUAGGACAUGGGAUAGUGUGUUCACAUCCCCCUUCUCCCUUAAUCAUCUCUGGGACACUGUCACAGACACAUCCAGAAUUGUGAUUCCAAACCCAGUCAUGUUGACAGUGAAGACAACCUUUUAUGAAAGGACAUACAAGGGUAAACCAAACCACCAACAAAGCCACAGCCAAGCCAACAGUGACCAAACUGACCUCGACAGAAACCACCGCCAAGCCGGCAGUAGCGGAACUGACCUAGACAGAAACCACCGCCAAGCCGGCAGUAGCGGAACUGACCUAGACAGAAGUGGAGUGGAGGCACCUUGCUCCUUAUCCGGAUUUGUGUAAGUUCUGCUUUGACAUCAUGCCUGUGCUUUAUAUGAAUAGAAAUAAAAUGGAAAAGAAAAAC